CCAAAGGCCCUUUUCAGGGCCCCAGAGCGUCACGGAAAGAGCUGU
rfam:Cavia porcellus supercont2_28 genomic scaffold, whole genome shotgun sequence.